CCCGGGUCCUCCAGGAGCCGUGCCCUUGGUAGGGGAGGAGUCCUCUUCCAGCCACAAUACUCGGCUCGGAAGAAACCAUGUAUGGCACACGUGUUUAAUCUUCACAUCAAGAGCCAAGUGUUAUGAUUCCCAUUUUCCAUACAAGGAAACUGAGGCUCAGAGAGGUGUCUGCCAGGCCCACCGCCCUUUCUCUUCACGCUGCCCCCAGUCAUGCGUCUACCAGGAUGCACCCCUGCGGUCAGGUGGACC